UUAUUUACAUCAAUUGAGCCCUUUGGCCUAUUCCUUUCUCUGUGUAUUUUAUUUUAUCACACACAGGGAGUAGUCGCUGACCUCAUUUGGACUACACUUUCCUCUCAAUUGACUUUGAAGAAAAACUAUAUCAGCAUCAAUAGGCAAAUUUACUGGUAUCCACCCAAGCAUGACAAAAGGAGAGCACCCAGCAGAAAUGCCUUGAAAAGCAAUCAGCCCAGCUCCAAAAGCACAUCUGGAACAGCAUGGUGCUGCAUCCUUAUGGCAAUCUACUGGGACCACACCACUGCCUGACCCACAGCUCCCAUCUCUCAGCACGCUUCCCAACAACUGCAUAGGGGUUUACGCCACCCAGGAAAACGGGACACUGCGGAGCUCCAAACUGCACUUCACUGCACCA